CUGUUUCGGCUGCCUACCUGGGGUUGAGAUUUGUGUCUCUUUAAAGAAAAGUUAACGUAACAGUUACGUUCUGGCGAAGAAUACAUGCACAUUUUAUCUACCUUCAGACUUUGAGCAAGUGAGCCAUAUCCGCUCUACAGGAAGCUUGAGAGAAUGAAAUGAAUGGACAUAUAUAAAAUGCUCAGAACAGUAGCUGGCAUAUGCUGAGCACACUGCGGUAUCAGUCAAAUCUGAAAUGAUUGCCUUAAAGUCCCGCUUGGAAUACUCAGCACAUUCCACCUUACUCUGCGGUCUCCAAGACUCCUUUUCCAGGAGUCUCCCAUCUCACAGAUGAGGGGUCUGCACUGCCCGAGGUCACACAGCUCCCAGAGACAAGCCGGUUCUCCACUCACACUGGAUGACAGAAGUGGCAAGAGGUUGUUCAGAAGAUUAAAGAUCCAAGUCACCAGAGGCUGCCAUCUCACAAGACCAUUUAGACAUUUUCUGCUUGGCAGUCAUUAAUAUUCUUCAGCAGAGAACGAGCAGGAAGCCUGUUCAAAAAGUCUACUCAUCAGAUCUCUGUACCUUGGAAGAUAAAGAGUGUGUGAGGGUUUUGUUUGGGGAUUAAAUAUUCAUUGGACUGGGUUAGAGCUCUUACUGUUCCCAGGAAGAAAACUGGAUUUCUACCUUUGUUUUAAAAUAACUACAAGAAUUAUACUUAAGAAUCAAUUUCUGUACUAAAUCAGACAGAGUAAUGUAUGCUGUGGUAUUUCUAAUACAGUAGAUACAACUUGGAACUCAAUACAAAGGACUGUAGGCAUUUUACAGAAGGACACAGUGGCUUGACACUGUAGGAAGAGGCCUCCAAGGAGAGGACAGAGGACAGCCUGGCACUCUGGCUGGCUCUCUGUCAUCAAUGCAGAGCUAUUCUACAACCUGAGGUUCAGUUUCAGGUCUUGUGAGAUGGAAAAAUGCUUAUUUUCAAACUUUGCUAACGACAGGAAGAAAACAAGUGGCCUGAAGAAAGCAGGAGCAGGCAGUGGCGACCACCACUCACACUUUAGCCCAGACACCGAGAACUGGUCACUGAAUGGCUGGGGGAUGUUCCCACCCGUUCCCAUCCCCCUUGCCCACCCUAUCUUUUAGGCAUCAUUGCUCACAUUUCCCUUGAAUUCAAACAUCUUUUAAAGGCUUUGAAAGCUUCGAAGGUUGAUUUCAAUGAAACCUGUUUUUAUUCUCUGCGUUUUUCCAACUGUCACUCUCGGAUAAAACAAAAAACAUUCACUGUCAAAACAACAAGGGUUCGCUCUCAAGCAAAGAACGAAAGCAGGUAUGUCUGCUUGAUUUAUUUUGGCAUAUGCCUCACAGUUAAAUAGGGCACCUUUUAAUUUGUCACUUCUUAAAGAUUCACUUAGGCUGGCAAAGUAAAUCCCCAGGGCUUGGUUUCAGCUCAAUUUGAACUAGUUGGGCAGAAAGGUUUAUCCUCCACCCUUUGCACACCCACCUCUUCUCAGGUGUUAAAGAAGCAAGUGUUCAUUUAACAACUUCAGAUAGGCACAAUUAAUGGCCUCUUGUUUUUACUUUAACCUGGAGAAGUUUAGAAAUCAGAAUUACUCCCGAAGCUCAACUGGAAAUUGGCAGUGAGAAACAGAAGCCAGUGUUUUUUCAACAGUCCUGUGGAAAAGUUAUUAAAACAGCAACUCUCCAGCUAUUUUUAAAAUAGAAAUCAGCUUUAAGCAGAGAGGCUCAGAAUUCAAACUCUCCAGGCUGUCACUUUUCAGCCAUGCAGCAGUAGAUUUCCCUGUGUCUCAGCAUCUUUGCCUAAGGCUUUGGAAAAGGCAUGCACCCAGCCUAGGCUGUUUAGAGUGGUCACGAAGGCAAUAAAACAUCUAGAACCCAGUAGGCCAUACCAGCGGCUCAGAAGUAUCCUCGGGUGUUAUCACCAAAGGAAACUGCUGUAACAUCUUGGAGUUCCUCCAUACAGGCAGGAUUCAGUGUUUCUUCCCAUAUGGGAGCUGUUUCUCUGUCUGCUAGAAUUGAAGCCAUUUCUCUCCUUUUCUCAAAAUUGGUGAUAACAUCUGUUUAGUCCCUUCAGUGUAACAAGGCCAGAUUGAAGGUUUGUGUUUAUACAAUCAUUAACACAACCACUGUUAAACAGAAGUGGGGUAUGGCAUCUCAAUCACCUAAUUGAAAUCUGGUUCAUUAUUGGAUAUGUAAACUGAUUCAGUUACAAAAAGAAACACACACCCCUCCCCCACUCCCUCUCUCUCACUCACACAGACACACACAGAGACUCACCCUUACUCAACCACAUUAACAUGUAGAUGAACUUUUGGGUUCUUCAACAUAAAUUUCCCCCUUUUCCCAGACUCAGCUUUCCUAAAAAUGCACAUGUGUAAAAUAUAUGAAACAAACAAAAUGCUUCCUUUUUUAAGAUCCUUAGAGCAAAUGACUUUCAGCAAGGGUGGGAAAUCCCAUGCAGGCAUCAUUAACCACAGUUUUCUGGUCCACACUGAAGUACUUUCCUACCUUUGGAAGCUCCACAUUACCUGUGGCCCAGACACCACACCUGUGUCUUUCUAGCUGCUUUUCCAAACUAUUUUAGUAUGAAUAAGUCAAAGCAUCCCCCCAGAAGGCCUGACCACAGAGCAACAGUGAAGCUUGCUCUUUGCAGCUCAGAGCUGGGGAAACAGAGGUUGUUUUCUGGUGAGAUGGAAACUGACACCAGAAACCAACUCCUCUUCUAAUCCCUUGCCUGAUGAGCUGCUGGAAACGUGUGGAAUAAAACCAGGCUAAGCCGUUUGUUC